rnacentral:misc_RNA from 1 species
AUUCUAUCUCUGGUUUGAUCCCACAAGAAACUUCCACACUUACUCCAUCAUCUGGAAACCCCAACAUAUUAUGCAAGUCUUAACUCUUCUUUUAUAAUCUCAUAAUUUUGAAGAUGAUUUCACUAUAAUUAUUUGCCAGGAAUCUUACUCAGACAACAAUUGUUGCUCUUAUUUUCAGAUUCUUGGUGGACAACGUUCCCAUAAGGGUGUUCAAAAAUUCAGAAUCAAUUGGUGUUCCUUUCCCUAAGAGCCAACCAAUGAGGAUUUACUCUAGCCUCUGGAAUGCUGAUGACUGGGCUACAAGAGGUGGAUUGGUGAAAACUGACUGGACAAAGGCACCCUUUACAGCAUACUACAGAAACUUCAAUGCCUCUGCCUGUACUUGGUCUUCUGGCACUUCAUCUUGCAACUCAAAGUCUGCAACCACUUCAUUUUCUGAUAGUGAAUUCCAAACCAAUGAGCUUGAUGCCCCUGGUAGACGAAGACUCAGAUGGGUUCAAAAAUAUUUCAUGAUUUACAACUACUGCACUGACCUGAAACGCUUCCCUCAGGGCCUUCCUGACGAGUGCAGACGCUCCAGAUUCUGAAAGAUGGCUUGGCUGCAGCCUUCCUGCUCAAGUUUGUGAUGUAGUCCAACGGUUUCAGAUUCUUUAGUUAAUUUCCUCCCCUUAUCCAGGUUUAUAUAACUUGGUACUUGAGGGGAUAAAAAAUAAAUGAAAUUCUUAGUUUCUUGUUCUUUAGUACUCAUCUUGUGAGGUUGUUUAUGGCUGUAAAUUCUGUUUUAUAUAAUAAAUUUUAUUGUUUGUGUUCUGCCUUAAUUUAAA